rnacentral:lncRNA from 1 species
CUGGGCAGGUGGCGGGCGCCACCUGAAGGGUCCUCUCUGUUUGGGGGUUUCCUGAGGGCGCAUCUCUGCUGGGGUCCCCUCUAUCUGGGGGGUCCUCUUUGCCUGGGGGCCCACUCUUGGGUUCCUCUCUGCCGAGGGUCUUCUCUGCAUAGGAGUUUCCUCCCUGGAGGAGGGGGGAUCGCCUCUGUCUGGGGUAUCCGGGGGGUGCUCUUCUCAGCCCGGAAGGGCCCUCUCUGGGGUUCCGAUCUGCAGGGGGAAUCCCCUACUGAUGGUCCUCCCUGCCUGGAGGUCUUUUCUUGGGGCCUUCUCUGCCGGGGUUCUUCCUGGGGGAGUCCUUUCUGGCACCUCUCAGGGUCUUUAAGUGCUGCCUUUGUCAGCCGCGCUCUGAUGAG